UUGCACGCUGGCGGCAUGCUUUACCCCUGCAAGUCGCACGGCAGCGCGGGCUUCGGCCUGGCGGCGAGUGGCGAACGGGUGAGUAAUACAUCGGAACGUGCCCAGUAGUGGGGGAUAGCUCGGCGAAAGCCGGAUUAAUACCGCAUACGACCUGAGGGUGAAAGCGGGGGAUCUUCGGACCUCGCGCUAUUGGAGCGGCCGAUGGCAGAUUAGCUAGUUGGUGGGGUAAAGGCCUACCAAGGCGACGAUCUGUAGCUGGUCUGAGAGGACGACCAGCCACACUGGGACUGAGACACGGCCCAGACUCCUACGGGAGGCAGCAGUGGGGAAUCUUGGACAAUGGGCGAAAGCCUGAUCCAGCAAUGCCGCGUGUGUGAUGAAGGCCUUCGGGUUGUAAAGCACUUUUGGCGGGAACGAAAAGGACUGUGCCAAUACCACGGUUCGAUGACGGUACCCGCAGAAUAAGCACCGGCUAACUACGUG
rnacentral:rRNA from 1 species